rnacentral:lncRNA from 1 species
GAGGAGGCAGAGGUAGUAAAGAGAGCCAACCGUUAUAACUGAGGGAGGGCUUCUCAGACGUGGUUGGAGGAGAAGGGGUGGAGCUAGGAAAGAGGGACGGAGUUAAUGUGGGAAGGAGGAGCAGGACCAAGGAGAAGAACACUGAGAACCAGAAAUUAGUACUGAAACUGGAGAGCAUCCCGAAUGGAAACAGCAGCCACCAACCUCCACAGGGCCUGCCGGGACCACCCUGCAGGGUGGUGGCCUGGGAGAGGACCCCAUGCCACAGCCAGGGCCCAUGUGAGAUGGUGUAUAGAGGGACUGUGCUUUGGGGCUGCCAUCACUGCAGAUACCUGAGGGGAAGGCUCCAGCUCUUCUGUCCCCACCCCAGAAUCUGCUGUGCACUGAAGGCAAAGGACUCUAGGGUGGCCUGACCCAGCCAGGGCUGUAGGGUGAAGCCCACUUGCCUCCAGCUGCACAGUUGGCCACAGAACAUCUGGGAUACCUGGCCAAGCCUGGGAGGCAGCUCUCACCAAUACCCUCCAUGUGCCCUGUAGAAUUUCCACCGUGUUCACUGAGAGCACUCUCCAUCAGCAAAAAGGAUCCAUGGUGCUGCUCAUUCUGGCCACUGGUCCCCACUCCUUAUGAAGGCAUCUCCCUCAGAACAUGGUCUCCAAGGGCCCGAGGGUGUGUCCUCACAGAACAUUCUGCACAGCAUUGAGUAGCAGGUUGCUAAAGCUGGAAGCUCCUUGAAGCUUUUCCAGCGGCCCCUUUGGAGGAAAUUCAGGGUCGCUGAUCAAUUUCAGUUACUUCACAAUGCAAAACUUCAAGCUUGCUGCCUUGUUAACAACAAUCGUCAACACUUGUGUGUCUCUUCAUGGCAUACACAUGCACUCUCACAUCUAUUACUUCAUCCGUUUUCACAAUCCAUCUCGAG